UAGGGAAUCUUCCACAAUGGGCGAAAGCCUGAUGGAGCAACGCCGCGUGUGUGAUGAAGGGUUUCGGCUCGUAAAACACUGUUGUAAGAGAAGAAUGACAUUGAGACUAACUGUUCAAUGUGUGACGGUAUCUUACCAGAAAGGAACGGCUAAAUACGUGCCAA
rnacentral:rRNA from 1 species